rnacentral:misc_RNA from 1 species
ACACUAAUGAAAUCCAAAACCUUUUGGAUCAACCCAACCUUAGCGAACCGUUCGUACAUUUUCCUUUGCCCCAAUUUUACCAAACGCAAAAAACUCUGAUGUAAAGUGUCUGAUUCUUAUUCUCGUUUCGGUUGUAAUGACCAGCGGGAAUCAAAAUCUAACGCAACA